UACGUAGGGUGCGAGCGUUGUCCGGAAUUAUUGGGCGUAAAGAGCUCGUAGGCGGUGUGUCACGUCGGCCGUGAAAACCUGCAGCUUAACUGUGGGCGUGCGGUCGAUACGGGCAUCACUGGAGUUCGGCAGGGGAGACUGGAAUUCCUGGUGUAGCGGUGAAAUGCGCAGAUAUCAGGAGGAACACCGGUGGCGAAGGCGGGUCUCUGGGCCGAUACUGACGCUGAUGGACGAAAGCGUGGGUAGCGAACAGG
rnacentral:rRNA from 1 species